GCCCGUCUGCCAAACGAGCCUUAUUCAUUCGGGACUCGGCCAGAAAAAGGAUACUCCACCCAUGAUCAGAGGUCGCUCCAAGAUACAGGACAUUGACACAAUUGUGAAGGGAAUGAUUAUUGAUUACACUCGAGUGAAGUAUUCAAGAACCCAAAUAAACACACGAGACUCACUGGAGUUACCUCCCGUCGAACGGCUAUGAAAAUCCCACAAACAAAAGCAGAAGAAUCCUCAAAAGAAAGAUACAGACUGAUGAGAGCAAUGUAAAGGAAAGAUAUUCACUUAGGACCAAGGAGACUGGCCAAAUUCUUAAAAGAAACUAUGCUGAUGAGAACAGUUUCAUGGAAAGUCAGCCACUAGUGACAGCAGACCAAACGAAAGACAUUGGUGUGCAAACAGAUUUGGAGACUGUCAGUUCAAGUAUGCAGUGGUGUGACAACAGUCUACAAGAUCAUGCAUACCAUAUACAAGUACCAGUGAAAAUGAAAACGAAAUUGCAUUUCAUUUUAUAUUUGAAUGCACAUUAGGAUGCAAUUAGUACAAAACAUUUCUCAAUUUGGUUUAUUAAAUGCUUGAACAUUUCUCGCAAUCACAUUGGUCGGAUCCUAUACACGUGUCCAGUCCUCGAAAACUCAUGUAGACUUGUUUUUAUGGAAAUUCCCCGCAACCUGUCGCAGCCAUAGUUAGACCGAACCGCGAUCUGUCGAACGACAGCAGAAGAUGGCUGCUGACGACCGGAACGCGAUCUGUCAGACGACAGCAGAAGAUGGCUGCAUCUGAAAAUUUCCAAAAGCUACUCGAAGAUAAAAACCCUGUUAACACAGUGUCCUCCAUGCUUAUUUUAAGGAAAAUAACCUUGACGAUGUCUUCUAAAGCUACGAUGCCGAACUGUUGGAUGCCAAACUGUUGGAUUCAACCCUGGCUAAAUUGUACUCGGAGGCAAAACAUGGA